UAUGUGAUCGUCUCUCGCAUAUCAAUAAGCGGAGGAAAAGAAACUAACAAGGAUUCCCCUAGUAACGGCGAGUGAAGCGGGAAGAGCUCAAAUUUGAAAUCUUAAAGGGUUUCCCUCUACGAAUUGUAGUUUAAAGAAGUGUUUUCUGUUGAGGUUUUGGUAAAAGUUCUUUGGAAUAGGACAUCAUAGAGGGUGAGAAUCCCGUAUUUGACCUUUACUUUCAACUUUGUGAUACACUUUCAAAGAGUCGGAUUGUUUGGGAAUGCAGUCCAAAAUGGGUGGUAAAUUUCAUCUAAAGCUAAAUAUUGGCGAGAGACCGAUAGCGAACAAGUACCGUGAGGGAAAGAUGAAAAGAACUUUGAAAAGAGAGUUAAACAGUACGUGAAAUUGUCAAAAGGGAAGCGUUUGACACCAGUGUUGUUUUUCUGAAAAUCAAUUAAAGAACUGUUUAUGCUAAGUCUGUUUAGACUUUAUCAGCUAACUGUUUAGUUUUGAGCUUUUCUUUAAUGCACUUUUCAGUUAACAAGUCAACAUCAAUUUCUUUUGCUGUAAAAAAGCUUGAGGAAGGUGGCUUGAGAUUCGUCUUAAGUGUUUAUAGCCUCUUGCCUAUGCAGUCGGAGAGAUUGAGGUCUGCAGCGUAGAUCCUUCGGGGCUAAAUGCAUUUGUGCUAAGUUAUAGCAUUUUAUAGACAACCUUGUUGACUAUGAUUUGUCUUGUAGCUUACUCGCUUAUGUUAUUUUACCUACGCUUAGGAUGUUGAGUAGCGACAUACGCAC
rnacentral:rRNA from 1 species